AUACUUACCUGGCAAGGGAGAAACUGUGAUCAAGAAGGCAGUUCACCCAGGGUGAGGCUCAGCCAUUGCACUCCGGCUGUGCUGACCCCUGCGAAUUUCCCAAAUGUGGAAAUCUCAACUGCGUUC
ensembl:snRNA U1 U1 spliceosomal RNA